rnacentral:rRNA from 2 species
CGCGGCCUAUCAGCUUGUUGGUGAGGUAACGGCUCACCAAGGCAACGACGGGUAGCUGGUCUGAGAGGACGAUCAGCCACACUGGAACUGAGAUACGGUCCAGACUCCUACGGGAGGCAGCAGCAGGGAAUCUUGCGCAAUGGGCGAAAGCCUGACGCAGCGACGCCGCGUGGGGGAUGAAGGCCUUAGGGUUGUAAACCCCUUUCACGAGGGAAGAAGAUGACGGUACCUCGAGAAGAAGCCCCGGCCAACUACGUGCCAGCAGCCGCGGUAAGACGUGGGGGGCGAGCGUUGUCCGGAUUUAUUGGGCGUAAAGGGCUCGUAGGCGGCUUGACAAGUCGGCCGUGAAAACCCAGGGCUCAACCCUGGGACGCCGGUCGAUACUGUCAUGGCUAGGGUCCGGUAGAGGGGAAUGGAAUUCCCGGUGUAGCGGUGAAAUGCGCAGAUAUCGGGAGGAACACCAGUAGCGAAGGCGGUUCCCUGGGCCGGUACCGACGCUGAGGAGCGAAAGCGUGGGUAGCAAACAGGAUUAGAUACCCUGGUAGUCCACGCCGUAAACGUUGGGUACUAGGCGUGGCGUCUUAUCAACGGAUGCCGUGCUCGAAGCUAACGCGUUAAGUACCCCGCCUGGGGAGUACGG